GUUAAGAUGGCAGAGCCUGGCAAUUGCAUAAGACUUAAAACUUUAUACUCAGAGGUUCGAUUCCUCUUCUUAACA
rnacentral:tRNA from 1 species